rnacentral:snRNA from 1 species
AUAUAUUUUGUAAAAAAAAUCUGUUCUUAUCAGGUCAAUAUCCGAUACUCGCCCCCAUCGGGGGGACUACAUAUUAAAUGGAUUUUUCGAACAGGAGUCGGAAAUGGGGUUUGUCUGGCCCGUUCCCCACGCAUCGACCCGGUAUUGGUAGUACUCCUCCGGCGAACGGUGCAACACUU